AUUGAACGCUGGCGGCAGGCCUAACACAUGCAAGUCGAGCGGAUGAAGGGAGCUUGCUCCUGGAUUCAGCGGCGGACGGGUGAGUGAUGCCUAGGAAUCUGCCUGGUAGUGGGGGAUAACGUCCGGAAACGGGCGCUAAUACCGCAUACGUCCUGAGGGAGAAAGUGGGGGAUCUUCGGACCUCACGCUAUCAGAUGAGCCUAGGUCGGAUUAGCUAGUCGGUGGGGUAAAGGCCUACCAAGGCGACGAUCCGUAACUGGUCUGAGAGGAUGAUCAGUCACACUGGAACUGAGACACGGUCCAGACUCCUACGGGAGGCAGCAGUGGGGAAUAUUGGACAAUGGGCGAAAGCCUGAUCCAGCCAUGCCGCGUGUGUGAAGAAGGUCUUCGGAUUGUAAAGCACUUUAAGUUGGGAGGAAGGGCAGUAAGUUAAUACCUUGCUGUUUUGACGUUACCAACAGAAUAAGCACCGGCUAACUUCGUG
rnacentral:rRNA from 1 species